GACGAACGCUGGCGGCGUGCCUAAUACAUGCAAGUCGAACGCAGUGGGGACGGGUGAGUAACACGUGGGUAACCUCCCAUCAGAGGGGAUAACACUUGGAAACAGGUGCUAAACCGAUACUGAUGGAUGGACCCGCGGUGCCUUAGCUAGUUGGUGAGGUAACGGCGCACCAAGGCCACGAUGCAUAGCCGAGCUGGGAGGGUGAUAGGGCACCAGAGGACUGAGAAAGGGCACAAACUCCUACGGGAGGCAGCGGUAGGGAAUCUUCGGCAAUGGACGAAAGUCUGACCGAGCAACGCCGCGUUAGUGAAGAAGGUUUUCGGAUCGUAAAACUCUGUUGUGAGAGAAGCGGUAUCUAACCAGAAAGCCACGGCUAACUACGUGCCAGCAGCCGCGGUAAUUC
rnacentral:rRNA from 1 species